AACGAACGCUGGCGGCAUGCCUAACACAUGCAAGUCGAACGAGACCUUCGGGUCUAGUGGCGCACGGGUGCGUAACGCGUGGGAAUCUGCCCUUGGGUUCGGAAUAACAGUUAGAAAUGACUGCUAAUACCGGAUAAAUGUCUUCGGACCAAAGAUUUAUCGCCCAGGGAUGAGCCCGCGUAGGAUUAGCUAGUUGGUGAGGUAAAGGCUCACCAAGGCGACGAUCCUUAGCUGGUCUGAGAGGAUGAUCAGCCACACUGGGGACUGAGACACGGCCCCAGACUCCCUACGGGAGGCAGCAGUGGGGGAAAUAUUGGACAAUGGGCG
rnacentral:rRNA from 1 species